rnacentral:lncRNA from 1 species
UUUGAAUGUCAUUACCAUUUGUAAGGGAAAUUAUACAAUAUUCAGCUCAACAGCCUUAUGACCGGGAAAAAAAAAUCAACAGCCUACCAGGUAUGAUUCACUGACUGUGAACCAACCAAAGUUUUACAAAAUAGUACAUUUUUGGAACCUCCGGCGUUAAAACGCACAGAUUACUCAGAGCUACAGAGUAUAUUCUUGACAUCAGCAGCAUCAGACCAAUUUUCAGCUGGAGCCUACCUUUGCCUUUUCAGUAUCCAUUUUAGAACAUGAAGAAACGCCACUCGAAUCAUAUGAGCUUUCCCAAUUCUGUCCAUCAAAUUGCUUGAUCUCGACAUGAGCCAGAGUACCGGGGUCCACACACCUAUAAGUAACGGCGAUUCCAUCUGGAUUUGAUCUUGGCUUGUAAAAUGAAGUUAUACCACAAACUUUGCAAAAAGUAUGCUUUGCCGUGUGAGUGCCAAAAGUGUAGGUUGUAAGGUAUUGGUCCGAAUUUCCCAAAAGUUUGAAUCUUUCAGAAGGGACAAUGAAGUGGAUAUUGCCUCUCAUGGAGCAAUCCGAACAGUUGCAUUUCCAAGCAACUACACUAGUCGGCGCUUCGACUUCCCACCUUACUCUCCUGCAGUGGCAUCCCCCACUAUGAAGUAGAAGCUCAGAUUCCAUAACAGCACGUCCCAACUCACUGGAGGUUCCAGUGUGCGAUGGCCAGAUGCAAGGAUCUAGAUCGAUCUUCACUGCAGUCAAUAUAUCAUGAUAAGUUAUGAGUUGAUUUAUGAAUGCUCAAUUGAAAAGGAUGUAGUAUUCAUGACAGAAGCAAGAGAUAAAAGGAGGGUACAUGGAGAAGAGCUAUUUUGCUAUAUGCAAAGACAGUUUUCCCAUGAUAUAGCUGUGUUGUUUAGAGCCCAGCAACAGUCUACAAAAGUUGUUACCCUACAUAACUCAUGAUUAGGAGCCAGAGAACUCAAGAAAAACAUUCAAGAGGAAAAUGCAUAACGGAUGGCCUUUGUUCAAUCAAUCAAGGCAAAGCAUAUGUUUAGGUUAUGCUUUUGCCUCAAAUAAAAGGAUUUCAGUGACUGGCUGCAGAUUGUUAGGCUAGGCUAAACUACUGUAAACAAUCUAAGAAAAGAAGUAGAAUUCCAGCAAGGAGUCACCUCCAAAUCUGAAGCUAUGUCAUGGAGACACUAAAGUGGACAAAGCAGUAAUGGCGUGAUCAAAUGCAAAUGCAAGUGAUGUGAAUGUCUACAAACAAUUGUGAGCCCUGAAGAACUCAAAAUGCAUAGAUCCGCCUGAUAAUUGUAGUUUGUUGGAGUUGAAAGGAUACACCUCAACACUACUGCUCCGAUAUGAACACUAAAGAUCUCUUGAUUUUAGAACAACAAUAACCUUGAUGGUGAGGAAAAACUUGAGAAGGAAUUGAACAUUUGAUUCACAACCGUACAUGAUGUGAAAUCGGUUGGUCUCACCCGAUAUGAUUCAUCUAUGCUUAAUUUCAAUUCCAUGCACUCGAGAUCACCGUCAAGGACUCUUUAAUUACUAAAACCGGUUGCCUUCAUCACAUCCAUCUUUUCACUUACUAGGAGAUCGGGAAACAGUAAAUGGGGGGCAUCUCUAUAGGCCCUUUCAGUUAAAACUGAUUCUACCUAGCGAAGUGCAUGACGCUUUAGAAGAGGGCAUGUCGGAUCAUAAUCCCAAUCAAAUACAGAUGCAAGAAGCCACAAUUGCCAAGUUGCUCACUGGCUACAUAGUACCCGAUUGAGCUUUUACAAGAUAGAAUGGCACGAGUUCUUGAAGAACUCAAAAAGUUAAAAAGCAGGGAAAUCGAUUCUGCUGAAGCAAGCGACAAGCAAAAUGAUCUGGGACGUCACCUCCUACAUGGGUCUCGUGAAUAAGGUAAGAGUGGAUGGAUGAGAUGAGACAGAGCAUCUGUUUACCUUUGAGAGUUGAGGAGUUGAGGAGGUGGAGGGAGGGCCGGAGCAGAGCAAGCGCAGGAGAGCAGCCCUUAAAGAGAACUUCCGACCGUCGUCAUUAGGAGGCGAAGUAUGAAUUUACAACAACUCUCUCUGCUUGUUGAUUAAAGAAAUGGGAAAAUCAAGCUAGUGCGGCAAAAAAACAAUUCAAAAAGGGACUGUCACGAGAACUACUGGUCAUCAUCAAUAGAGGAGGGUUGGGAUUGUUCUAUCGCACUUCAGUUUAGGUGAUGACACUCGUUUAGUUUUUGGACAUCCUCAAAAUAGAGAAAUAACAAUGAAAUAUCCAUAAUACCCUCACCGUCUCUUAUCAUAUAAAUUGUAUUUAAAACCAUGGUUCAUGAGUGUCUCGAGACACUAGUUAAAUAUAAUUUAUUUGGAAUAAUUCAAUUUCAAAACUUGGUGCAUAACACGAGGGCGGUCGGUACAUUGAAGACCGUAAAGUUUCCUAAAUUAGUGUUUCUGGACGCUCACCAACAAAAUACUGGUAAAUAUUAUUAUGAUUGUUUAGUUAGAGGAAAAGCGAUAUAAAUAUUUAUUAAAUCUUGACUCACUGUACACUCUUAAUUCGUUUGACAUGAAUCUUUAUAGACCUAAAUCAUUUUAACUUGUAUUGGAUUGAUAUUAUGCUAUUUUAAUUUUCUAAUUUAUAGAAUUAACUAACUUUGCUAAAGAAAACAUAAAAAUGCUAUUUCAAAAUUUUUAUCUAUCUAAAAGAUUAGGGACAUUAUUUAGGUUAACUUACAUAUAAGGAUCUAUACAUAAAUUAAUAUAAUUAUAUUAGAUAUCUUUACAAAAAAAAAAAGGAAAAAAAGACACAUAAUUUCAAAACUUUGAUCCAAUAUUCAAUGUUAUCAUUAAACUUUUAAUUUGUUCAAUCAACCUAGUCCCUCAGCCUUCAGUCUAUUCAAUCUAGUCAGUCCUAGAUGGUAUUCGAAAGUUCACGUAAUUACACUAUUGCCCGUAUUUAUAGCAAAUCUCGCAGGCCAACAUAAUGGGUCCACAAAAUAAAGAGGCCAAAGCCCACCCCAUUACCGAUAUGGGCUGGCCCUCUAGUUCUACCGAAAUAGCCAUGGCAUGUUACUGCACUUUCUUCCGUUUCCGUCGGAAGCUCCAGCGUCGGGUUGAACGAUCGGAAGCAAAAAGAAGAAGGCGGACAGGACAGCGAUGGAGGGAGACGCGCUCGCCGAGUCGCUCAACAGUCUCUUCCUCAACCUCUCCACGAUGGUCACAUCCGAACUCCAGGUACCUCGAUUUUGUUUACUCAUUCACACUGAUCUUUGAUUGAAUCAUGAGGCUUGCAUUUAUGCACUCUGAAUAAGUAAAGACAUGUGGUUAUGAUACGAGCAUGGGCUUAACAGAGGUGAGUUCAGCCAUCAUCUCUUUCUCACCACUUUCAAACUGAAUUAGGUUGCUGGAGUUAAAGUGGAAUCACUCACGAGAGGGAAUUCAUAACCCCAGCAAAUGCGAUAAAUGCAAUCAGCUCUUUGUGUCGCCCGACUUCCAUAGUGAAUUCAUUAUCUGCCUCACCUGCGAAUCCUUUUCUCUAUCCCUAUAAGGAUGAGACCGGUCCAUGGCAGCAAGCAACUCUUUGCCUAAGGAGAGUUCGUUAACCCAUAGAUGAAAACAAUGCAAACUUCGGUACACCCCGUUAAGCAAUUGACUCGGUUCAGGUCCUUAGAUGAAAUCUUAAUAAAAACCCGUUUAGCGAUCAAGAUGUGUCUUUAAACAAUACGCAUGUUAUAAUUAUGUGGUGUAAAUCAAGUUAACUUAUCUUUCACGCUUCAAAUAAGAAAAAGCCAAUCCCAAGGUUAAUGAUAUAUAGAGGGUCCAUUUGUAUGCAUUGUCUCCAUGCAGAAGUGGAGAGAGGUUUCCUCGUCAUGGCAUAGAAGUGAGAGUGAUGUUUGGCAAUUUGCCAAACAUCGAUAAUUUCUGUUCUUUUAUUUUCGGGAGUAGAUUUAGAACAGAAAUUUGUUUCGUAAAAUUUUUAUUCCUAAGAACAAAUUUUUAUUGUUUUGUUCCUGGAAGUAGAUUUCGAAUAAAAUCGAGAAGUAAAAAAAUUUUGAUUGUUUAAUUCCCGGAUUAAUUCUAGAAUAAAGCACCUAUUUUCUCUCUUUUCUUUUUUCUUGUUGUUCAUCCCUCUUUCUUCUUCUUCAACUGCACAUCGUCGUUGCCAUCCACCGUCGUCUGCCGUUCAUCGCUAUCGAUUGCCGGCAACCGAUAGGGUGAGAUCUAGCGAGCUUGUCAGAGGCUCGCCCAGCCAUCAACGUCUCGACCUCGUUAGAUUUGGCGAGAUCAAGCCUCGCCGGUGGCCAGGUGGGCCUCGUCAGGGCCUCUCUCAACCAUCGGUGAGGCUCACCUGGCCAAGCGAGGCUCGGCUGACGAGGCACAGCCUCACCAAGGGCUAGUGAUGCUUUAGUGAGAUUGCCGGCCCUUGUCUAACCGGUUGUCGGUCAUUCCAAGGCCGGCCACCUUGAAGAAGAAGAGGAGGAGAAAGAAAGGGAAAAAAAAAAUUAGAAAUUAAAAAAAAAUGAUUUGAAGUAGAUAUUUUGAGGACGAUACGCAAUUCUAUUCCAAGAAUUGAAAUUUUGGACAGUUACCAAACGGUUUAAAAUAUUUAAAAAUUGUUCUCGAAAACAGAAUAAAAAAUAAUCAAUUUUGAUCAUAAAUCGUUCCCAGGAACAUACAUUUUUGAUCAGAAAUUAUUCCUCGGAAGAGAAGCGUUACCAAACAUAAAGGAGUGCACACAUGGUCCGAGCGAAAUAAGUCACUAUGAAUUUGCUUGCAAAGUGAUCAAAUAUGGGAUGUUCGUUGUGAAAUUUCUCUUACAUGAAAUCUUUUUCCUCUAUGUUAAAACCAUACACGUGAUUUAUAGGAUUCUUAUUCCCUUUAUGGUGGCAAAAUUGGGCCUGCUUGUUAAACGAGUCAAGUUGAUUUUGUAGAUAAUUUGGAGGGUCUUGUCCUAUGGGAGCUCAUAUCUUCAGGCUUUUAUGUUCUUGCUUGUAAAUCUAGUGUUAAGUUUGAAUUUGGAGAGCUCAAGUUGUAAAAACCACCAAUGAGACUAUUGUACAUUGGUUUGAGAACAAUAUGAAAAGAAAGAUGGCUUUGAAUUUAUAUGGUCCUCUGUAUUCCAUUAAUAACAUUCGGAAUACACAUUGACCCAUGUUCGAAUCGUCACGUUAUCACAUGAAGUAUUAUCAGUUGAUAGCUAUGGAUAUACUGAGUGGGUCAGUCUACACGCUCUUUGUGCUUUAGGGCUUUGUUAGGGCAAUGACUUUUUGGAAACAUCUACAAUGAACUUCAUGAUGCUUUUACUAUGCUUUAACAUAUUGGUUCCUUUUAAAAAUGGCUUGCAUAGGUCAAAAUCAAUCUCUUGUUGAAGCUCGUCUUCAAAGUUGCAUCGUUGGUUCUCCUCUAAAUUUGGUAAUGAUGGCAGGGUUAUUUCAAGCUGCUCCGUCCCCUUUAUGGCAGACUCAUGUACUAAAGUCCCCUACAGAUUAAAGAGUUUAUGGAAACUUUUGUUUGAUGACGAGAGGCUCUUGUACAUUUGAUGGACAGAACAUCAUGAGCAAAUUCAGGCUUUAGAUGGAAGUUCUAAUGAUGGUGGUGGAUUUUGACAGCUUUUGGGCAGUUCCUUCUUAUUCUUGAAUCACAAGACGGCAUAAACUGGUUUUAUUUAUUUAUUUAUUCCGUUUGCCCCUCAAAGCAGCUUGGCAAUGCAAUAUUAGGGGAUCAACUAUACUUGUUUGAGGAGUGGCUCGGUCAUUGCCUGUAGAACGUGAAAAUUAACUCAGCAAAGGUGGUUUCUAGAUUUAUUGAUGAUCAUGGUUGGAGUGAUUUCAGUAUAGUUGCUUUUCUGGGGAAAACUAAUGCCUCCGGGGCCUUGAGGACAUUGUGGAUGCUUCAGGACUUAAACUCACUCUUUGGGCUUGUUAAUAAAACCGACUAUUAUCAAACGGUGAAAGGUUGGGCAGUGUUAUCCACUAAGAAGUCCUAUAACUUCAUAAGAUUUUAACUUGAAUAUAGGAGCUUACGCCUGUAAUAGGUAGUUGAAGCGUAACCCCCCCCACCCAAAAAAAAAAAAAAAGGCUUGAGACGGAGAAAUUCAUAAAAUAAAUUUGCAAUAUGAAUUUGUUUGACUCUGUUUUGCAGUGGAAACCUUCUGUUGUAUAUGGUGAAAUGUAGUUCUCUGGCUGCAAUUUCAACGGUCAGGUCUCUGUCUAUGCCUUGCAAACGGUGUACUAACGAGAAACCGAGAGAUGUUCACCAAAUUUCAGUUUCCAUUCAUAACACUUCGUGAUAAUACUUGCACACUUAGACAUGAAAAUCUAAGUAGUCGCAUCUCCAACCCUCCAUAAUGUUUACAUACAAAGACAUUGCAGGUUAGUUGGGUACAUCUGGCGAGAUGUGAGACAAUUUCAGAACAGCAGUUACUCCGGUGAAUAUCUAGAAAGAACAUUGUGAUGGAUGCAAAACAUGCGAAAUCCCAAAAUCUCUAUAACCAGAUCAAGAACAUGUAUAAUUGAGUAAAAAUAUUAACGCACCUAUUUUGGGAUCCAUGGUUCUUGAAGCGGAAGCAGAAAUUUAAUAUUCCACGCACAAGUCAUUCUACUCUGGCUCAAUGAAACGGCCCCUCGCCUUUUAGUGCUAGGUAAACACCCUUAUGUGAGGAUACUUAUGAGAAUUGAGGUUAGAGGAGAGACUUAAGCACUAUUUAUAGAGUUUCCAGCCAAGCUUCUCAUUACGGACCAGGCUUAACUUGGCCUAUACUAGCCAGCCCCAUAUUAAACUAAUUAAGAAAAUCUCACUUUAGACUAACCUCAUUUUACAAUAACCAUAAAACGGUAAAUUACAAUAUCAAUUAAUAUAGUCCACAUUAGAAAAACUGUUGCACCAAUAUCAAUAUCAAUUGUCCAUUGAGUAAAUUACAGCACAAAUUCAAGCAGAAUCGUUUUGCAACUCUAUGCAAGAUUUAGUCCUAGUCUUUCUCCAGCCUCAGUGUCUAGUGGGUUUGAAUGUCAUUGCCAUUUGUAAGGGAAAUUAGACUUCAAUGAGAUACCUUGUCAAGUAUCUCGCUUCGAAGGAAAUUAUACAAUAUUCAGCUCAACAGCCUUAUGACCGGGAAAAAAAAAAUCAACAGCCUACCAGGUAUGAUUCACUGACUGUGAACCAACCAAAGUUUUACAAAAUAGUACAUUUUUGGAACCUCCGGUGUUAAAACGCACAGACUACUCAGAGCUGCAGAGUAUAUUCUUGACAUCAGCAGCAUCAGACCGAUUUUCAGCUGGAGCCUACCU